CCUACGGGAGGCAGCAGUGGGGAAUAUUGGUCAAUGGGCGCAAGCCUGAACCAGCCAAGUCGCGUGAGGGAUGACGGUCCUAUGGAUUGUAAACCUCUUUUAUAUGGGAAUAAAAUGUUCCACGUGUGGGAUUUUGUAUGUACCAUAUGAAUAAGGAUCGGCUCACUCCGUGCCAGCAGCCUCGGUAAUACGGAGGAUCCGAACGUUAUCCGGAUUUAUUCGGUUUAAGGGGACCGUAGGUGGAUUGUUAAGUCAGUUGUAAAAGUUUGCGGCUCAACCGUAAAAUUGCAGUUGAAACUGGCAGUCUUGAGUACAGUAGAGGGGGGCGGAAUUCGUGGUGUAGCGGUGAAAUGCUUAGAUAUCACGAAGAACUCCGAUUGCGAAGGCAGUUCACUGGACUGCAACUGACACUGAGGCUCGAAAGUGUGGGUAUCAAACAGGAUUAGAUACCCUUGUAGUC
rnacentral:rRNA from 1 species